GGGGAUAUAGCUCUGUGGUAGAGCAUUCGACUGCAGAUAGAAUGGUCCCUGGUUCAAACCCGGGUGUCCCCU
rnacentral:tRNA from 1 species